AGGGAAUAGAUACCCUGGUAGUCCCAGCUGUAAACGAUGCAGACUCGGUGAUGAGUUGGCUACAUGCCAUCUCAGUGCCGCAGGGAAGCCGUUAAGUUUGCCGCCUGGGGAGUACGGUCGCAAGACUGAAACUUAAAGGAAUUGGCGGGGAGCACCACAAGGGGUGAAGCCUGCGGUUCAAUUGGAGUCAACGCCGGAAAUCUUACCGGGGGCGACAGCAGUAUGAAGGUCAAGCUGAAGACUUUACCAGACAAGCUGAGAGGAGGUGCAUGGCCGUCGCCAGCUCGUGCCGUGAGGUGUCCUGUUAAGUCAGGUAA
rnacentral:rRNA from 1 species